AUGUCCCACCAGCAGCUCACGGGAGAGGAGGUGGGACACGGCAGGGGCGGGGGAACACAGCUGUGCCCCGGGGCUGGGUCCCUGCGCUAUAAAAGUGACUCCAGCAACCGUGUUGGGGAAGAGCAGCAGCCCCGACCUCUGCUCCUGCCUCCCGCAGCCUCCCACAGCUGCCAGGCCCUGAUGAUGAAGGUCCAGGUGCUGACAGUUCUGCCCCUGCUGCUGGCGCAGCUCUCCUUGGCCCCAGCACAGGCUGAGGCACGGGGAGGGAGCCUGCAGAGGCAGCCCAGAGGCUGGGGGCCCCCAGAAGCCCCCCACCCAGCUGGGUCUGGUGGGGACACCCUGCUCGGACAGGGCGCAGAGGGCAGCCACCCCCUGGCUGGAGCAUGGGAGGUGCUGGCUGAGCCCCCCCAAGCCCCCAGCGAGGCCAGGGGCAGCGGGCAGCAGGGCCCCCCCAGCCAGCUCCGCAGGCGCCCACCGCAGCCCUCCCGCAGCAGGAGCCUGGGGCUGAGCCAGCACCUGAAGGGCCACGGCAAGUUCAACGCCGACACGCACUCCUGCCAUGGCAUCCAGCGCCGGCCCUGCCAGAAGCCCUCGGACUGCAGCGGCUGCCUGGGGCUGUACACCUGCAAGCUGCCCGCGGGCACCUGUGGCCUGAAGGCCGUCUCCUGGCAGAGAGGUGGGUUCCUGCGCAGCAUCCAGAGCGCCGGGUGGCACACGGGCACCCUGCUCCCUGAGCCACGCGGCUCCAAGUGAAGCUGGAGAGGCCGUCCUGCAGCUGAGACCGACGUUUCCUGCCCGUGUCUCCUUUUAAAUCCUUAAUUAUACAGCUGUAAAUGUUUCUGUCGCUGUGCUUUUCAUGCUGUUUGGUUUUUAACACCCCUGGAUGCCAUAUGCUGGGUAGGUGUGAGCCCCACUCUCCUUAGCGCUGCUAACAAAAUACCAAGUGGCUGCAGAGCAGCCCCCAAAAGGCACAAAUGUGGCUGUUUUACGACUCGAUUUAUUCUGGGCUGCUAGGAUAUUGCAGGUAAAGCUGCCGGUGUUUGAGCCCGGUCACACAAUAUUGAGUCCAAGCAGCCUGCUCGCAUCGGGAACCCUGGGAAGCCUCCCAGCUCCCUGCUGCAGCGCCCAGGGUGCAGGGCAAAGUCCCACGGUACUGAAACAUUGUGUGGGAAGGGGCACGCGGAGCUCCUGGGCCUGGUGAUGGGCCCACAUCUGCUUCGAGAGGCCUGAACUGAGCCAAAAGCUCAGCUUAACUUACUGCUGUGUGGGGCUUUAUGGGCACCCCAGCAGGCAUGGGUGCUCUUCAGCUUUGCAGAACCCCAUUUUGCUCUCAUUAAAAGAAAAAAACAUCUUUUAAAAAGAGAACAGGGACACAGCAGGUGACCAACCUCACACCACACCGCGGGUUCCCUUGCUGGCACUGCACAUGCUGCUGAUUUUCUCUGCUUGGUGCUGUGGCCUCCUCCACUGUGCAUCGGGCUCACGUGCUGCUCGCCCUCCACCUCCGCAGGCCGGUGGCUGCUGCAAAGCCACCUCCAGGGCCUCCACAGCCUGGCCUUAAAUCCCUUCGGCCUCUGCUCCUUGCACCGCCCCACCCUCACCCCGCACCUCUCCGUGUUGUACAUGUUGUGUGUGAUGCCACAGCUCCUGCCAUCUCUGCAGCCUUCCUGCCUCUCCUGCAUUUCACGGCUCUUCUGCGAGCACAACCAGCACCCGGCUCCUCUCAGUUCCUUUUUCCAAAGCUUUCUCGCUC
rnacentral:lncRNA from 1 species